rnacentral:lncRNA from 1 species
GUCCUCUUCCUUUUAUUUUCUUUUUCCUACUUUUUGUUCCAUUACUUCUUUUUAUUAUUUAUUUUAAUUAUUAUGAUUUUUCCUUCUGAAGGUAAUUACAAUAGUACCUUUUUCUUUUCCUUAUUGAAAUAGUAUAUGAACUGUGACAGAGUUUCUGAUUUAAAUUCAUAAUGAUAGAAAGAAACAGCACGUAAAGACGAGAUUACUCAUUAGUCAUUACUAGACUAAAGAUCUUUUACAAAACUUGUGUUUGGUGUACAGUGUAGACUGACUUUGGCUUCUUUUUGUUUUAACUUUUUCUUUUCACUUGCGUGUUUAAAUUAUUUUACUUAGUAAAUGUGAAAGUUGCUAAAUAGAUAAGAAUUUCUGAAAAAAGAAUUUCUGGACUAAUAUAAUAUUUUAUCCGUUUCAUAAUAUAUGAUGUUUUGGCUUAUCGCACGAAAAUUAAGAAAUUUAUAUUCUUUUAGAAAAUCACCAUUAAAGAUAUAGUUUUAAAACAUUCAACCAAUUAUAAAAAAAACUGUAAAAUUUAAUUGGUUAAACAGUUUCCAAAAAAAAAAAAAUUAACCUUAAAAUUUAAAAACAUCUUAUAUUUUGAAACAACAUAAACCUUCUAAAACAUCAUAUAAUUUGAAACGUAGAAAGUACAUUGUUGUUUAGGUGAAUCAGAUAUUAAUAAGAAAAAUAUAAAGAACGUCGCUUGGGUAGGCAACAACACCC